GCUGGGCGUGGUGGUGCGCGCCUGUAAUCCCAGCGGCUCGGGAGGCUGAGUCAGCAGGAUCAU
rnacentral:sRNA from 1 species